GGCUUCCUGCCUUCCCAACUCCUGGAUCACAGUCUGAGUUCCGCAGGAUGGUCUACACCGCCAAUGUUUCAAGCGCCGCCCCUUCAGCCGCCUCGUGCACAGAACCAAUCCGCCCCGCCGGCUCCGGCUUCUCUCGCCAAUGCUACCGCAGGUGGAUCCAGAAAUAUGUCUGCUUGGUUCAACCUGUUCGCGGACCUGGACCCGCUCUCCAACCCCGACGCCAUCGGACGCUCCGCAGACGAGCUCCUCAACGCCUGAAACUGUGGUGCUGCUUUCAUCCUGGAUGCGUUUUGGGCUUUAUCACAUUCCAAAGAAGGACUUUAUUACUUUAUCACAUUGCAUUGUUCUGUUUGUUGUAUACUUAAUGGACGUAUGUGUCGGUGAUCACAUUCCCAGAGCCGCUGGGAGCUCCAUACAAGUCUGCAUCUGCAUCACAGGAUCAUGUGAAAUGCAUAUCAAAAUCAUCUUUAUUGACAGAGUGUGUUUAAGAACACACAACUGAUUCGUAACAAACUGACAAGAACAGAAGAAAUUUGAUCCGACAUUGCACCAACCAGAUCAUAACCAGCAGGAAGUGGACUCCUUAUAUGGUUUUGACGGUUCUCCACUAAUGGCCGUUUUCAACGAAUCAUCCUUGCUGCUAAACAUUGAAUCAGUGAUUGACAUACAGUAAAUCAAAAAUAUUUAGCACCAGUGGGUCAUGGACUCCAGGCCAGUGUUGCUGACACCAGGAGCGCCACAAAUAGAUGUUUCGCUAUGUAUAGCGUUAUGAAUAUUUUCCUGUAUUGAUUAUACCCUUUUCUUGGAUGAUUUGCUUGAAAGGUUUGCCAUCACACUACAGCCGCAAUCCACUUCUUCUUUGGACUGAACCCUUUUUUUUUUUUUUAAUGCAGAUGGAAAUGAAUGGAAUGAAAAUUGCCGUCUUUCUGAUCUUUCUGAAUGCUGAGAUUCUGAUGUGAUAGAACUGUAUUGUGGAAAAAGAACAUGUACAUAUUGUACAUAUUUUUUUUCACAAAUUAGGAACAAAAUCAGACAAGAUUACAAUUUAAAAUUUGGAGGGGAAAAAUAUGACAGCAGUUAUUUUGAGAUGUGUAUUCCUGACUGAGUGCAUCUGUUGUGAAGGGUCUUAUACAGUAGUCUAUUAUAAUUGCUGUUGUUACUUCUGUAUUUUGAUUAAUUUUCGCGUGAUACAUGGACUCUACUUUUUACUAUAUUUAUCUUGAGCUUUAAAGAGUUUCAAAGUUAUUUACUGACAGUCGUACUUACUAUUUACUCUGUCACUUGCUGUCUACCGUUUACUCUUGAAGAAUGUAUUUAUCGAACCACAAUUGCUUCAUUUCGUUUAUUUUGUUUAACUUAAGAAUUUACAAAUGGAAUCGGGUUACCAAUAAAGAGGAGCAAAAA